GACACUCCAACACCAAACUGCAUUUCUGAGACCUUCCCAUUCCCUGCGUCAGAGGAGCCGGUCGCACACCGCCCACGCAACAGCGGUCCCCAGAUGACAAUCUGUCUGGAUGCCCUAAGGAAUUUUAAUAUUCAUAAACUUAUGCAGAUACAGCUAUGAGCAUUAUUUCAACUGUUUUCCCAUACACAGGAGGAUGUACCUUCAGUGUGCAGAGUCAGAUUUUGUUUAUUUAUACAAGAGCUGGGAUACAGACCAGAGGCGCAGGAUGGUGAGAGGAUUCACCAGAGAGAGUGGGGAGCAGAACAGGCAGACAACGAAAACACUGCUGAGGGGAGUAGCGGGGAUACAGAAGAGGUCUGCUGCACCAUGUGGGUAUCUCCCUGGCCAGCUGGGAAUCAAACCAGUGCUGUAGAGGCUGUGGACAGCUUCACAGCGCUGCACUCAACCUGUUGCGCCACCAGCCUGAACCUGAGAAUGCAUGUGGCCUGAAGCAUCAAUGAUCUCUAUCUGAAAAACCAACUAACGUGUAAAAUUUAUAUACACGAAACAAGCACUUAAAUUUUGUGAUGAAACUACAAGUAACAGUUACGGUCAUUGCAAAGUUGUGUAAGACCGUCAAAGCAACCAUCAUGACCCAAAGCAGAUGGACUUCACGCCAAGCUAAUGUCUGGUCAUACUUUUCAAGAUCAGAUCGAGAGUUUCAUAGGGAAAUGCAGACACACGCUAGGGAAGGGAAGGGUUGAUUCCCCUUACUUCCUUUUCUGUUUCAUUCCACAGAUAUUUUAUUCCAAGUAUAUGUAGAAGAGUAUAAGCUACAGCCCCUGCUGACAAGAAGUGAGUGUAGAUACGCCCAUAAAUAAUGUCAGUAAGUGAUGAGGAUAAAAUCAAGAGUAUCAAAGGUGAUGGAAACAGUUGAUCGGUGAAACUUCACGGAUGAACCUUGAGAAAGUUUAAAGGACAGACAGGAGUCCAUAUGGGAGAAAAGGGCAUCGGGCAAAGAUUACCAUGUGAAGUCAAGCCAGGAAAUUGGGAGCACUGUUCCCCCUUGAUCCUGGAGAGAAGGGAGGAGAUGGUGGUCCCACCUGAAGAGUGUCAUUUGAGAAGGCAUCUAGUUGAUUAAUGGGGGCAUAAACACUAGGGGGACUUUUCCUCCCAUUCAAGCCACAUGGGAGUCAGCACAUGGCUGGUGCUAGUUAGCGGCAUCAUGGUUUAGACCUGGCAUGCUGACCUCUGCCUUUCCCUGCCACUGCAAUGUGGUUCCAGGACUUCAAACAUGGUGUCCUCAAGCCAUUGUAUUCAAAAGCUGUGAUGAAAGAGGCUAUGGAUCCAGAGAGGAAAAGCUCUGCCAGGAAGUUCCAGAGGACAUUUCCAAGUAUAUCCCAUGACAGAAGAGGGAGACAUGCCAGCCCUGAAGCAGCAGGGUCAAGGGGGAACCCCAGACAUCUCACAUCAGGUUUUGUUGACAAGGGAGAAGGGGUAGUCAAUGAACAAUGCUUGACACAUGGAGUUUGGGGGCCACAUCCCAGAACCACUUUUCUUCACGUUGCGUGAGGUUUAUUCAGGGAGUGGAGGAAUAACCAUUAAAACGUGGGUGGGAAUCGCCCAUCGAGACCUGUAAUCUAGCGAGAAGGUAGCGCUGCUGGCAGAGCAGAACGCAAAGGGCAGGGAAGGACCACACCGAGGAAGAGCUCACGGCAGCUCAGGUCAGAGACGAGGAGGGCCUGAGGCAGCCAGGAUCAAGGAUGAGGACAACAAACCGCUCAUGAUGAUGGGGAAGCGCCGUGCAGUGCAAGAAUCCAAAUCAGCUGGAGUCGUUUUAUUUCUUAGCUUUGCUUGUUGUGUUCGGUUUUUUUUUGUUUUUGUUUUUUUUACAUUGCCAGGUACUGCUGAGAACUUUGGAAAGCAAACGCUCCAGAUGGAAGAGCUUCUCUAGCUGGUAGCGGGAGGGAUUUGGACCUGGGUUGGACGUGGAUGGGGAGCACCAGAAGCAAAGGCUUGCAGUCUGGAUCUCGGGCAGCCACUGACCCCUGAAGCUAGAUAUUUAGUAGCCGUUAGUGACAUCUAAGUAUUUUUUGCUCUAGAGGAGUUUUAAGCGGACAGGAGGACGCAGGGCACAAUCUGGGGACAACACAGACAGCGAUAUUUACAUGUUAAGGGGAAAGAGCAGAGCAAAGGGAUUUCAGAUGGGAAGUGAACGGGUGGAAUGUGAUAUCACGAAAACCAAGGAGGCUGAGCAUUCAGGGCACGCGUCACUCGACAGUAUCCAACAGCAGAGAGGUCAGAGGGCGAGAACCAGGAAAAGGUGGAGACACAGGCCAAGAGAGCCUCAGUGAUGCUGACAGACACCGGGCACCUGGGUUGCAGCAGAGGGAUGGAGAAGGGAGAAGGAAAGACGUUGCCAUUUCAAAAUGCUCGCAAGAGGGGGAACUGGAAAGGCAUUCGGCGAGCCAGCAAGGGCAGAUGACGGUGCGGAGGGAGCUGGUCGCGCGGUCACAUCCACGCACAGGAGAGACCACGCAGAGAACGGUCUGAAAGGCAAAACCGCACAACUUGAGUGAAAUGGGAAGUCCCUGGAAAGGGAUUAAACUUGGGAAAAGCCAGCGGCACGCACAUUUUUAACUAAAAUAUUUUCAUUGAAAUAACAUCGUGAACUGCAGAGACCCGGCUUAAAUACACAGUGCACAGAGUUUUGACAAAUGUGUUUCUCAUGUGACCCCAAUCAAGUUAUAGAAAUUCUAUCACCCCAGAUGUUUCUCUCACACUCUCCCCUGCUGCCCCAGAGAGGAAACCGCUAUUCUCAACUUGCUUUUACUGCAGUUUGGUUUAGCUUGUUCUAGAGCUUCCUACAGUCCGCUCCUGGUCUGCUUCCUUUGCGCCAACGCAACGUGCUGGAGACCCACUCUCUCCGCGUCCAGACUUCCAGGACACUGUGUUGUGAGCCGUCUGUCCAUCCCUUGUUUCUAACUUUAGACAAUGAAUAAAGUUACUGGGAACA